GCACAAGCGGUGGAGCAUGUGGUUUAAUUCGAUGGUACGCGAGAAACCUUACCAGGGCUUGACAUACGCUGGAAGCGGUCCGAAAGGAUCGUGCCCGCUUGCGGCCGGCGUACAGGUGCUGCAUGGCUGUCGUCAGCUCGUGCUGUGAAGUGUUGGGUUAAGUCCCGCAACGAGCGCAACCCCUGCUGUCUGUUGCCACCACGAGAGGUGGGGACUCAGGCGGAACUGCCGGUGACAAACCGGAGGAAGGUGGGACGACGUCAAGUCAUCAUGGCCCUUAUGUCCUGGGCUACACACGUGCUACAAUGGCCGGUACAGAGCGCAGCGAGGCCGCGAGGCAAAGCGAAUCGCAAAAAGCCGGUCUCAGUACGGAUUGGAGUCUGAAACUCGACUCCAUGAAGUUGGAAUCGCUAGUAAUCGCGCAUCAGCAUGGCGCGGUGAAUACGUUCCCGGGCCUU
rnacentral:rRNA from 1 species